UGGGGAAUAUUGCGCAAUGGGCGAAAGCCUGACGCAGCGACGCCGCGUGGGGGAUGAAGGCCUUCGGGUUGUAAACCCCUUUCAGCAGGGACGAAGCGCAAGUGACGGUACCUGCAGAAGAAGCGCCGGCUAACUACGUGCCAGCAGCCGCGGUAAUACGUAGGGCGCAAGCGUUGUCCGGAAUUAUUGGGCGUAAAGAGCUCGUAGGCGGUCUGUUACGUCUGCUGUGAAAACCCAGGGCUUAACCCUGGGCUUGCAGUGGAUACGGGCAGACUAGAGGCAGGUAGGGGAGAAUGGAAUUCCCGGUGUAGCGGUGAAAUGCGCAGAUAUCGGGAGGAACACCGGUGGCGAAGGCGGUUCUCUGGGCCUGACCUGACGCUGAGGAGCGAAAGCGUGGGGAGCGAACA
rnacentral:rRNA from 1 species